rnacentral:piRNA from 1 species
UAAAAAGGAAAGUAGUCGUUGGCUGGA